UUCCCCUGUCCCUGCCAGGAUGCUGAGGUUUGCAAGGAGAUUGAGCUUUUGGAUUUACACUGUUAACCUGGAAAGACAAGGAUAAAUCAGUGUUGUAGUGCUGUCUUGUUCUCCUUGCAACACUAUAGUAGCAUUCUUAAUAUCUGAGAAUAGGCUCAGGUCACCUCCAGAGCCUGGGGACAUUUAACCAAGGCUGCUGAUACUGAUGCAAAGUACAGAAUUAAUCUGUUAAACCUGGCUCCUUAGUUCUAUUACGGCUUUUCUGUAUUUUAAAUUGAGUGCCUAAAGGGAUGCAGAUAAAAGCAUGGUGUACAGAUAUGGAGGCAUCUCAGCAGUCUAGGUUUAUUUGCUGUGAUUUGAUCCAAAUUGUUGGAUUUAAGAUGUGUUCUUUCCCUGCUUUCUGUCGAAACAGAUGGUACUGAAGGCUAUUUUGCAUCUAGUUGGGGUUGACUGGUGUAGCCACGUAGCAGCUGUGGGUGGCCAUGUGGGACAAUGGGCUGCUUUAAGGCAUUUGAACAUGUCACUGUGUGUCUCAUUCAAACCUGCAGUGUGUUACCCUUGGCCCUGGUCCAGCAAAGCAGUUACACGUGUGUUUAGACCACCCAUGGCCUUCAUACUUCUGAUUGUUGCUCUUAAGUUAUCUCUCAAGCAGUUCAAGGAUGGCUCCUGUCCAAGGCUGUAUCACGCACCCUUCAGCAGGGCAGUGCUGUGAUGACAUCCAGGGACUGCUGGGUGAUCCUAAACCCUUGGAUGUGGGAGAAGAGCAAGGGAAGCCAAUGUUAUUGAGUUGCCCUGGGUUCCCGCCGCAAACCAAUCCUGGCAGUACUCCACCAUGGAUCCCUGUGAACUGCUAGCAUUGCCUCCUUGCAGACUGUUAGGUAACAGUCAGUACAGUGCCUGCUUAGGACCUGUAAAUGGUCUUUUUCAGGACCUGGAAAAUGGGCUUAUUUCUUCUUUUCUUCUUUUUCUGCUCUUUAAAAAAAAAAAAAAAAAAAAAAGUAGUAAAAAUCAGACAUGCUUGCAUUGAUGAGAAGCUCCUGGGCUAACAUCCCUGCUUUGAAGGUCUUCCUAUGUUACUGAAACAGCAUUAACAAAGCUGCAUUGUAUGAUCUGUGCCCCCUUUAAUUCUAUACAGUGAAAAACUUCAUUCUCCAGUAGGUAUGCUGUUGCUCUUGGCUGUCCUGCUAUGUCUCCAGUUCCGUGAUCAGUGUUGAAUUGAGGGAGAUGCCUAACUGCAAAUAUCUGAACAGGAAUAAUAGCAUCAGCUUCUGCAUUUGUGCUCAAGGCAUAGUUUUGUGGCAUUAGUUUAUGGUGUGAUGGCAGCUAAGACCUUCUGACUCACCAGAGUCUGUGGCCAGAGAUGAUGGCUGUCAUUCUUGCAAGUGAAACUGGGCUGUGACAUCUGGUGUCACAGUUACCUGCACUCAAAGAAGAUUAGGAUAAGCUCUUGCCAGAGCAGGAUCUUCCCAGUUCAAUUAAGGGGAGACCCUGUAAUGGGUAGGUCAGUGCCUGGCUGCCUUAAGUGUCCACAGUCAGAAGCAGAAGCCAUCCUUGAAUUCCCCAUUGCUUGCCAGCAGCCUGGUUUGGAGACAAACUCAUCCUUAAUGUGCACAGUCCAUUUUAGAUGUUGUGCUCUUGCCCCCAUGUUGUGUGGUUCUUCCAUUUUUUACAGUUGUUUCUAGUAGGUGUGUUGGAUUUUUUUCACUGUUGAUAUUGGACUUGAAUAAAGAAGAGCUCAUGGGAAUAGAUAAAAGGCUUAUAAGUUUUAUCACCUAAAUAGGCACUAUUUUUAGUCUAAAGCUUCCUGGUUUUGGUUGAGACUAAAUGUUGCUGUGGCUCUUGAUAUUCGGUAAGCCAUGAGACUUUCAAGUGUAUUGGAUGGCAGAUGCUGCUUCAGACAGCAGAGUGAAUGUAGGAGAGUAAAGGUACUUGGACUUUGCAAUGCUGACCAGCCCUGAUGCUGUUAGUUGGUUUCACAUGAUAGAAAUAGCAGGCUUCUGUACAAGUUCAGCUUCUCUGUAAAAAUGAGAGGAGGUCAUUCAGCUUCCAGGCAGGUGCUGGCAGGUUGCUCUGAGCAGAUGUUUUCUCUUUGAAAUGUGUCCUUUUCUUUCAGGUAGGAGUGAUUGCUCCAGGUUGCCUUUAACUCCCUGUUCUCAGUCACCUGGAAUCCCAUCCCUGAGUGCUCCUGAAGCAUUGUGAUGACAGAGGGGAGCAUUCCCUGAGCUCCAUGCAUGACGUGCCCUCUGCCUGUGUUUGCCUUGCUGAGCCUUUCUGCAGCAGGUUAGCGGAAACGUUGGCACUGUACAGCUUAUGUCCUUGAAAGAAUAUAUAGCCUAGGUUUUACCUUGGACAGAAUUAGACUCAGCCAAAUGAAGAGUCCGGGGACCUUUGCAACCCAACACCAGAAUGAUUACAAGGAAGUGAAGACUUUCAGCUCUCAUGACCAGCUCUAAUGACAGUGGCAAAUGCUAUUCCCUUGUUUCAUGGGGGAGAAGAGGUAAGUUCAAGUGAUGAGCAGUGACGUUUCGGCUUCCGCAGAGCUGUGUGUGCCUGGCUCGUGCUGAGCUGUGAGCUCUGCCUUUGGGGAGCCUUUCCCUGGGCACAGGCAGGGUCCCCUCCAGGAAUACGAUCAGUCUAAUUUUAGUGACAUGUGCAGCAUUUGAUCUGGAAGCAGCUGUGUCAGACAAAUCUGUUGGCCUUGUCAAGCAGCCUGAGUGCAUUGCUGAGGAAUAUGUUCGUUUCCACCCAAAGGCAAGCUAGAAAGCCAGGGCUGCAUUUAGCUGGUGCUUGACUUGAAGUAAAUCAGAAUGAUAUAUUUGUAGACGGUGCGGUGCCCAAAAUCUCGGAUUUUAAUGAUGUUUCAUUAGAAAAGUGAGUCAUGGCUUAUUUUUGUAGCCCUGUAUUGCAUUUCAUCUUUGUACACUGCUGCUUCUGUUUUCUAGUUGGUGGAAAGGAUUUCUGGUCACAGUAUCUCUGCUUCCCUUUUGUGAUAAGGUGUCUCCAGUAAAAAGUUCAUGUGAUGAUAACCACCAGUGGUCUGAGCCUGAGCUGCUGCUGGCCCCAGGUCUACCAGGUGUUGUGUUCAUUGCUGAGGUAAUCUCAGUGGGUGCUCAGGUUGCUGCCCUUUGGCAGCUGACAUACAAACCUUCUAGGUAGAAAAGUCCUAAAAAUACAGCAGGACUUGACAUUUCCAUCUGCUGGAGAGGUACGGGUAUGGGUUGUCUGCUAAACUCCUGCUCAAGUGUCCUGCAGGCAAACUAGAAUGCUUAAUUGCUGGAAAUUCUCAGGAAAACAAAAAUGCCUCAUGCAGUGUGUGUUGGGUUUGGUGGCAGUGCCCAUCUGCCUAAUGGAUGCAGACUGCAGCUGCUGCUGUGGUGGGGCAGCCCCAGGCAGGCAGUGAGGGAUGGUCCCAUUGCAGACUUUGGAAAUAAGGGAAUGAUACAGGGGCAUCUCUGCAGUGCAAGACAAGGGAUCGCCAGGAUGUUCUGCCUUCUUGCCUCUCCCCCAUAGCUUGAUUCUGUUCAGAGAGCUGAUCAGUAAAUACAUUUAAAGUUUCAUAGGUUAAAUAUAUAGUUAUGUAGUAGAGGUAAAGCUGAGUUACUGCUUGCUAACAGUAUUUUGGUAAAUGGGUGAAGUUCUUCUUUCAGGCAGUGAAGGUGAACCAGUGAAGUUUCUCACUGCCUUUUGAAGUAACAGCUGGGUAUUUCUCUAAGAGACAGCACAGCGUUACAGAAAAAGCUCUCAGAUACCCCAAACCUGCUGCUCGGUCCAGAUGAAAAGCAGAAUCUGGAAGGGAUGAGCUGAUAUCUAAGCAACAGAGAGAACAAAGAUUCUUCCAAGAGGCGGGUUCUGCCCUUGGGUAUGCCUUGCUCCCUACUCUGCCAAGGAAAUGCUUGUUCCUCAGCUGCUUUUUAUAUUUGGAGUUGGGAGGCUCCAAACGCCCGUCCCCACCUGUCCCUUGUUUUCAUGAUCCCUGUGUUAUGCUGAAGAUAGCAUGCAAAACUUCCUUGUGCUGGGGCUGCACUGCCAUGGAAUACUCGGGGAAGGUGUCCUCGAGGCACACGAUGGCAGCUUUGUUGCUGGAUUGUGAGCUUCUGUGGCUGCAAAUGAGGCACUGCUAGAGGGUCAGAGCAGUCUGCUGCUGCUGAUAGGCAGUGAUUCCCGGUACCUCUGCUGCAGGUAGUUCCCAGGGCUAUGAAAAGACUCACUGAAAGUAAGAGUUAUAUUUCCUGGACAGCUUAUUUCCUGUAGCAUCUCUGUCCCUUUUCUUUUUGCUUACUUUGCUGUCUUUAGGAAGAGGCUGUGGACCCCAGUGGUAGAUGCUGUGCUGAAUGCCUGAGCCUGCAUCCAAGCCAAG